rnacentral:rRNA from 1 species
UACAGAGGUCUCAAGCGUUGUUCGGAUUCAUUGGGCGUAAAGGGUGCGUAGGCGGCGCGGUAAGUCGGGUGUGAAAUCUCGGGGCUUAACUCCGAAACUGCAUUCGAUACUGCCGUGCUUGAGGACUGGAGAGGAGACUGGAAUUUACGGUGUAGCGGUGAAAUGCGUAGAUAUCGUAAGGAAGACCAGUGGCGAAGGCGGGUCUCGUGGACAGUUCCUGACGCUGGGCGACGAAGGUCAGGGGAGCAAACGGG